ACUCAAAGGAAUAGACGGGGACCCGCACAAGCAGCGGAGCGUGUGGUUUAAUUCGAUGCGACGCGAAGAACCUUACCAAGGCUUGACAUACACCUGCAACCCUCUGAAAGGAGGGCCUCUUCGGACAGGUGCACAGAUGCUGCAUGGCUGUCGUCAGCUCGUGUCGUGAGAUGUUGGGUUAAGUCCCGCAACGAGCGCAACCCUUGUCCUUAGUUGCAAAUCUAGGGAGACCGCCGGAAACAAACCGGAGGAAGGUGGGGAUGACGUCAAGUCAGCAUGGCUCUUACGUCUUGGGCUACACACACGCUACAAUGGUCGGUACAGUGAGAAGCCACCCAGCGAUGGGGAGCAGACCUCCAAAGCCGGCCCCAGUUCAGAUUGCACUCUGCAACCCGAGUGCAUGAAGUCGGAGUUGCUAGUAACCGCGUGUCAGCAUAGCGCGGUGAAUAUGUUCCCGGGUCUUGCACACACCGCCCGU
rnacentral:rRNA from 1 species